rnacentral:rRNA from 1 species
UACGAAGGGGGCUAGCGUUGUUCGGAAUUACUGGGCGUAAAGCGCGCGUAGGCGGCUAUCCAAGUCAGUGGUGAAAGCCCGGAGCUCAACUCCGGAACUGCCAUUGAAACUGUUUAGCUUGAGGACGAGAGAGGUGAGUGGAAUUCCCAGUGUAGAGGUGAAAUUCGUAGAUAUCAAGCGGAACACCGGUGGCGAAGGCGGCCUUCUGGACAGUGACUGACGCUGAGACGCGAAAGCGUGGGGAGCAAACAGG